AUUGAACGCUGGCGGCAGACCUAACACAUGCAAGUCGAACGGUAACAGGAAGCAGCUUGCUGCUUUGCUGACGAGUGGCGGACGGGUGAGUAAUGUCUGGGAAACUGCCUGAUGGAGGGGGAUAACUACUGGAAACGGUAGCUAAUACCGCAUAACGUCGCAAGACCAAAGAGGGGGACCUUCGGGCCUCUUGCCAUCGGAUGUGCCCAGAUGGGAUUAGCUAGUAGGUGGGGUAACGGCUCACCUAGGCGACGAUCCCUAGCUGGUCUGAGAGGAUGACCAGCCACACUGGAACUGAGACACGGUCCAGACUCCUACGGGAGGCAGCAGUGGGGAAUAUUGCACAAUGGGCGCAAGCCUGAUGCAGCCAUGCCGCGUGUAUGAAGAAGGCCUUCGGGUUGUAAAGUACUUUCAGCGGGGAGGAAGGCGAUAAGGUUAAUAACCUUGUCGAUUGACGUUACCCGCAGAAGAAGCACCGCUAACUCAC
rnacentral:rRNA from 1 species